rnacentral:tRNA from 1 species
GCUGCGAUAGCUCAGUUGGUAGAGCGCCGCCAUGGUAAGGCGGAGGUCAUGGGUUCAAUUCCCAUUCGCAGCU